GUCCACGCCGUAAACUAUGAUCACUGGAUGUAUGUGAUAUACAAUAUGCGUCUGAGUAAAAGCAUUAAGUGAUCCACCUGGGGAGUACGUCGGCAACGAUGAAACUCAAAGGAAUUGACGGGGGCCCCGCACAAGCGGAGGAACAUGUGGUUUAAUUCGAUGAUACGCGAGGAACCUUACCUGGGCUCGAACGCGGAGGGAAUGUAGGUGAAAGCUUACAGCUAGCAAUAGCCGUCUGCGAGGUGCUGCAUGGUUGUCGU
rnacentral:rRNA from 1 species